CAAUAGCGUAUAUUAAAGUUGUUGCAGUUAAAAAGCUCGUAGUUGGAUUUGUGGUGUGUCCAGUCGGCCUUUGCUCUCUGAGUGAUUGUGCUGUACUGGUCUGCCAUGUUUGGGUGGAAUCUGUGUGGCAUUAAGUUGUCGUGCAGGGGAUGCCCAUCGUUUACUGUGAAAAAAUUAGAGUGUUCAAAGCAGGCUUAUGCCGUUGAAUAUAUUAGCAUGGAAUAAUGAUAUAGGACCUUGGUACUAUUUUGUUGGUUUGCGCACUAAGGUAAUGAUUAAGAGGGACAGUUGGGGGUAUUUGUAUUCCAUUGUCAGAGGUGAAAUUCUUAGAUUUUUGGAAGACAAACUACUGCGAAAGCAUUUACCAAGGAUGUUUUCAUUAA
rnacentral:rRNA from 1 species